ACGGAUGAGUAACACGUGGGCAAUCUGCCCUUCACUCUGGGACAAGCCCUGGAAACGGGGUCUAAUACCGGAUACGACACUCUCGGGCAUCCGAUGAGUGUGGAAAGCUCCGGCGGUGAAGGAUGAGCCCGCGGCCUAUCAGCUUGUUGGUGAGGUAACGGCUCACCAAGGCGACGACGGGUAGCCGGCCUGAGAGGGCGACCGGCCACACUGGGACUGAGACACGGCCCAGACUCCUACGGGAGGCAGCAGUGGGGAAUAUUGCACAAUGGGCGAAAGCCUGAUGCAGCGACGCCGCGUGAGGGAUGACGGCCUUCGGGUUGUAAACCUCUUUCAGCAGGGAAGAAGCGAAAGUGACGGUACCUGCAGAAGAAGCGCCGGCUAACUACGUGCCAGCAGCCGCGGUAAUACGUAGGGCGCGAGCGUUGUCCGGAAUUAUUGGGCGUAAAGAGCUCGUAGGCGGUCUGUCGCGUCGGAUGUGAAAGCCCGGGGCUUAACCCCGGGUCUGCAUUCGAUACGGGCAGACUAGAGUGUGGUAGGGGAGAUCGGAAUUCCUGGUGUAGCGGUGAAAUGCGCAGAUAUCAGGAGGAACACCGGUGGCGAAGGCGGAUCUCUGGGCCAUUACUGACGCUGAGGAGCGAAAGCGUGGGGAGCGAACAGGAUUAGAUACCCUGGUAGUCCACGCCGUAAACGGUGGGAACUAGGUGUUGGCGACAUUCCACGUCGUCGGUGCCGCAGCUAACGCAUUAAGUUCCCCGCCUGGGGAGUACGGCCGCAAGGCUAAAACUCAAGGAAUUGACGGGGGCCCGCACAAG
rnacentral:rRNA from 1 species